rnacentral:lncRNA from 1 species
CCCAGGUAACCACCAGGUAAGUGCCACUACCCCACCUUCUCCCCCCUUACCCCCACUGCCCGAAACACUGUUCCGACAGUGUUUCGACACCCCUCGGGAGUUUCUUGGACUCACCUCUCACACCAUUAUGACACACAGUGUCUGGCGCACAUCUUCUGAAAAUUUCGUCGCCGGAAACCACAGCACGCGCUCCCACGCGCCGCCCACGCGCCGCCGCUUCCCCACACGCGCCGCGCGCGUGAGCCCACUUCCGGGCACUUUUUUCGCCGGCUUCUUUUGGACAGCUUUCUCACCCC